UUAACUUAUAGUUGUAUGAUCAAUUUUAAUCUAUGUGUAUGGUAAGAAUGGAGUGGAAGCUAAGCAAAUUCUAAACAAUCACUUGUAACUCUAUAGAAAACAAAGCUAGAGAUGUUACACAAUCAAGCAUGAAUGUAAGGCAUGAAAUACAAGAGAUAAGGCAUCACAAACACAAAGAUGUAUAGUGGUUCGGUGCACCCCAGCACCUACAUCCACUCCCCAAGACCUCUUGGGAAUUUCACUAUAAUCCCUCAGAUUACAGUCGGUUGUUUUACAAGCUCACAACCCAACUUGUUGUUUUGCGAGAUCACAACGAACUCGGUCGGUUUUCACAGGCUCACCGACUAGAACCAACCGAUUGUUUUCACGGGCUCACAAUCCAACCCAGUUGGUUUUUUCAAAGGCUCACCAACCACAACCUUACAACGAUUGUUUUUCGGGUUCACAAUCAACCCAGUUGGUUUUCCCAAAGGCUCACCAACCACAACCUUACAACGUUGGUUUUUCCUUUGGCUCACCAACAA
rnacentral:lncRNA from 1 species